rnacentral:rRNA from 1 species
UACGGAAGGCAGCAGUGGGGAAUAUUGCACAAUGGGCGCAAGCCUGAUGCAGCCAUGCCGCGUGUAUGAAAAAGGCCUUCGGGUUGUAAAGUACUUUCAGUCGUGAGGAAGGUGUUAAGGUUAAUAACCUUAGCAAUUGACGUUAGCGACAGAAGAAGCACCGGCUAACUCCGUGCCAGCAGCCGCGGUAAUACGGAGGGUGCGAGCGUUAAUCGGAAUUACUGGGCGUAAAGGGCACGCAGGCGGUUAAUUAAGUUGGAUGUGAAAUCCCCGGGCUUAACCUGGGAAUGGCAUUCAAGACUGGUUAGCUAGAGUCUUGUAGAGGGGGGUUAGAAUUCCAUGUGUAGCGGUGAAAUGCGUAGAGAUGUGGAGGAAUACCGGUGGCGAAGGCGGCCCCUGGGACAAAGACUGACGCUCAUGUGCGAAAGCGUGGGGAGCAAACAGGGAUUAGAUACC